ACAAGCCUGUGAUGAAACAAGUUAUCCCUGUCUGAACUUUCUUGUGGAGUCAUGGUAACCUGAGGCUAGA